rnacentral:lncRNA from 1 species
UGCACGGAGUUGGGUUCAUCACACUCCUCAGCUCAUGGCCCCUGAGAGGAUUGAAGGAAGGUUCUCAGUUUAAUAUUCUGAGGGCAGGAACCUUGCCUGAUCUGUGUCUCCUCUGAGCCCAGCACACAGGAAGCGCAACUAAGAAGGACCUUGAGGUUGGGUGUUGAAAAACUGAGAGAUGAGAGAGGCAGUGGCACAAAUUGUCCCCUUCUGGGUGGCAGGGGCGGAGACAAGGAUUGGCCACGGCUCGGUGAAGUGUCUGUCGUCUGGUGACCAGCUUUGGACAAACCUGGAGGAUACAGGGCAUGUUUUUCCUGAGAAAAAGAAAACAACAACAACAACAACAACAAAAACAACCAAACCCCCAAAACAAGGAAGUACUCCUCCCUGUGUCCUUCAAAGCGCUGUGGCAUCUUCAGAUCUGGGUACUUGAAAGCUAAAGCUGGUCAUAAUUUCCGAUGGACAUAAUGUGCAUUUGAAAUUCUUUUCCACAUCAAAUUAAAUCUGUCUUGGACUGAUUUC